GAGUGCAUAAAGCAUAGGGAUUUUGAAGCUAAAUAUGUUAUAAAAUUUGUCAUUUUAGUGAAUGCGUUCUUUUCUGCUCGUCCUGGUUGUUGCAAGGAGACAUCAGGCAUUGUAAUGGAUGAUGACAAUGUGUCGCUGGCAAACCUACACCGUGUGCAUUUUCUUGGUGGAUAUCUUGGGCAAAUAUCUUAUAUAAAUUGGUAUGAUUGCUUACCUUAAAUUACUAAAGAAGGAUGAUGUUGUAAGGUUAGUGGAUAUUUAUAGUAGUGAUAAAAUGGGGGUUCCCUAUGAAUAGGAACAAAGUAAGGCUGCCUAAUUAAGUGGAAACAAUAUUGUGCAGUGUAACAAUCUAAAAAUAUGGCGGACUGAAAUCUGUAAAAAUGAUGCAUGUUUAAUUUAAAACAUGCAAAAAUUGCAGCAUAAAUAUAUCACGAAACAUGCUUCUUACAACUACAUGCUAUGUUUAUAGGAAUUUGAAUAAGUUUUUAGUAGGCAUGAUUUAGGAUUUUUGUUUUAUUUUCAUUUAUGAUUUUCUAUAAAUGCCCCAACUAGUUUAUAUCUAAUACGUAAUGUAUAAUAUAUAGAUUGUAAAUUUUUUGAUCUAGAAAAUAAUAGAGCUCUUAUACAACUACAUGCUGUGUUGGGUUGUUAGGGUUGAAUAAGUUUUUUAGGGUUGAAUAAGGAUGUAAAGCCUCUAAGGAACUCAUAAUUUUUAACUAACGCAUAUCAUAUUUCAUUAAUUUGAUCUUGUAUAUAUAGUUUUGUAUUUCGUAGUAGCGUCAUUCCUGAUGAUGACUGCAAGCUAGUCGAAACGUCGAAUCAAAAUGUUAACCGUUUUCGGAGUGUCCAUUGUUUUGUAUUUUUUAAAAUAAGUUUUUAGUAGGCAUGAUUUAGGAUUGUUUUUAUUUAUGAUUUUCUAUAGACUGUCCCCCCCCCCCUCGCGGUGGAAGGAUAACAGCCUGUGGCCAUUUGUCACUAAUGCUGCACCGUGACGUAGUCGUAUAAAUAGAUAUUUAACAGUCUGUGGCCAUUUGUCACUAAUGCUGCACAGUGAUGUAGUCGUAUAAAUAGAUAUAAUAUUGUGCACUUCAGUGGCUAUCUAAUUUUAUUAUCCAAUCAGGUGUGUUACUUUAAAUAGAACUUAUUGUAUGUAAACAAGGUCAAUAGACAACGUUUGGGACAACAUUGCUUUCUUUAACAUAUAGCAUAAUUUGUCUUCGUCAUUCUGUGCACAAUGAAGUAUUGGGUCAUUCCAGAAAACAUCCAUACCCCCCCCUCCCCACGGAGGAAAUAGGAAGUUAACCCCCUACCCCCUUCGGAUGCCCUAAUACAUUUACUAUUAUCAGAAACAAUUUUUUGUCCCCUCCCCCUCCGGACGGCAGAAAUUUCCUCUGUGGGGGGAGUAUGGAUCUAUUCUGGAACGACCCAUUCAAGGCAAAGAAAAUAUGCAAGCAUUAAAUAUUUCCUGCAUUAUUUCUCAAUCCUUGCUCAAUGACAAAAACAUACUUAAAUUAAAUUUGUAAUAUAGGAAAAAUAGAUUUUCUGUAAUAUAUAUUUAUCUGAAACAACCUCAUGCUAUGUACACUUUUGUAAGUUGUCUGUUUGUUUCAAAACUUACAAAAAUGUACAUUAAAACAAGUAAGACUGAAGAAUCAUCUAAAAUUCUUAAAAAAAAACCCCAAAAAACACCUCAUGCUAUGUUGAUAGGAAUUUGAAGUUUUUAGUAGGCAUGAUUUAGGAUUUUUGUUUCUAUUCAUGAUUUUCUAUAAAUGGGUGCCCACCUAAUUUUUGAGAUAUGAUAUGAAUUUAUGAUAUCUUUAUCACAUAAAAGAGUGGCAGUGUCAUCACAACAGUAUAAAAAACCAACUACUGUGGGCUCAAUUUUACAAAUACUGUAUAAAUAUACAAUAACAUAACUUAAUUUAUGAGAAUAAAUACAACUAUCAGGAACAACAAGAGAGUGGAGUAGCAAGACUACAAGCAGUGUUACAUUUCAAACAGAUUCUUAGUUUAUAUUGAUAGCAGUAAUGUACCAUCUGUAUAACAUACAGUUGUAAAAUUUGUAACGUCUCUCUGGAGCAGGGGGGGGGGGCACAGUCUUUCUUUAGGUUGUAAAGCGAUGAUUGGGCUAAGAAAAUUUCAAUACGUCAUUGCUGUUGAAAUGACUUAAUUCAUCACUAAUAAUAUUGCUCAUAAUAUACCAUCCAGCGUCUAUUUUUGAGAAAAUUGUUGCACAAACCAUGUUCCAAUGUUUGCGAUGUGACCAUUGCAUAUGGCUGUCAAAAACGUCCAGAUUAGUUAGAUUAUUGUUUUCUAAAACAUUGCGCGGCUCGUGAUUUUAGAACUCGUUUUAUGCUUUAACCCAUUGAGUGGCUCCACUUGACAAGUAAAAUCCUGUGGCGUUAGACAGUAAAAUACUAAAGUUGGGUGCAUCUGGGUGCAAUGCAACUUAAAGGGUUAAAUUAACCAAAAAAAGUUCAUACAUUUGUUUGAAAAAAGAUUUUAACACAGUACCAUGCCUGUUUGUAUUUUGAAGUUCCUUGAGUUAAACAUGAUACUGCAUAAAACCCUAGUAGGGAACCACCUCCAGACCAAUUUACACUCACCUGCGACAAAAUAGGGAGGUUGUGUGCUUGAUUUGCACAGUGCAACUCAAGUUGUAAGCAUCUUGCAUGGGACCAUCUGAUGCACAAGACUUUCCUCUUGAUGAGUAAAAUGAUCUGAUAUCAGACAUUUGAGUUCCUUUGCAGCUUAAGGAGUUAAUCCUAUUUAUCUUAGAGAACAGCAAUUCAACUAUCUGGCUGGCUUGACAAAUAACUAUACACCAACAAUGUGUGCAAAGGCAAUUAAGUGUAUCCUUGGAAAAUUUUAUCUGAGAUUAUGCAGAGUUGUUUACAACUUUUUUGUUCAAGCCUAGUGACUUAUUUCAGUGCAUGAAAAUCAUCCCACCUUUCAUCCUGUCCUGACAAACUGGGAUCAUGUAAACAGCACAUUUAGCCAUUAAGUUGAUUUGCACUCUAAUUUUCCUACUUAUAUUAUUUAACUCUGUCUAACGUCAUACAAUUUUAUUAAGCAGGGGGUGCACUGGCAGUUAAUUAAUGGGUAACUAGACACAUGGGCAGUCUCAUUAUGAAGCAUAAAAUCGUCUAGCGUUGGACAGUAAAAUACUCAAGUAGUACAACCUAAUGGUUAAAUUUUUUUUGUAGCAAAAUGGUUUAAGUUUUAUAACUGAAUUUUUUUAAUUUUUUUUUGCUUUGUUUUACAGAUCAUUACUUGAACGUGCUGAUGAAAUAUUGAUUUAUAAAAUAUCAUGUUACCAAGAUGAUAUGCCUCGAAGAGCAAUACAUGAGGGAAUACCUCUAUUUCUAAUCAAAUUACAACAAUACACCAAAGACAGUAGUUCUCGGAUGAAAUGAAAGGAUUGAUAAAUGUUCAUGACCAGCAGUGGAUAUUUGUGACUAUAAUAAAUGGAUACAAAGAAACUAUGAUGGAUAAAUAUGGCCCCGUAAUGGAUAUUCAGUUGAUGGACAUACAAAGGUCACAGAAAUGUCUAUUUUCAGGUACUGUUCUUUCUUGUUUGCCUGCGAACAGGCUGUAGAUACUUGUAUCCAGGCCAUUGUUUGUUUUUUUUGUUCUGGGUACAAUGAAAUCCGGCAUAAAUCCUGGCGGUCUAAAUGUUCAGUAUAUUUACAAAUUCGAUCUAUUUUCUGUUUCA
rnacentral:lncRNA from 1 species